rnacentral:rRNA from 1 species
CGGCAGGCCUAACACAUGCAAGUCGAACGGUAACAGGAAGAAGCUUGCUUCUUUGCUGACGAGUGGCGGACGGGUGAGUAAUGUCUGGGAAACUGCCUGAUGGAGGGGGAUAACUACUGGAAACGGUAGCUAAUACCGCAUAACGUCGCAAGACCAAAGAGGGGGACCUUCGGGCCUCUUGCCAUCGGAUGUGCCCAGAUGGGAUUAGCUAGUAGGUGGGGUAAAGGCUCACCUAGGCGACGAUCCCUAGCUGGUCUGAGAGGAUGACCAGCCACACUGGAACUGAGACACGGUCCAGACUCCUACGGGAGGCAGCAGUGGGGAAUAUUGCACAAUGGGCGCAAGCCUGAUGCAGCCAUGCCGCGUGUAUGAAGAAGGCCUUCGGGUUGUAAAGUACUUUCAGCGGGGAGGAAGGGAGUAAAGUUAAUACCUUUGCUCAUUGACGUUACCCGCAGAAGAAGCACCGGCUAACUCCGUGCCAGCAGCCGCGGUAAUACGGAGGGUGCAAGCGUUAAUCGGAAUUACUGGGCGUAAAGCGCACGCAGGCGGUUUGUUAAGUCAGAUGUGAAAUCCCCGGGCUCAACCUGGGAACUGCAUCUGAUACUGGCAAGCUUGAGUCUCGUAGAGGGGGGUAGAAUUCCAGGUGUAGCGGUGAAAUGCGUAGAGAUCUGGAGGAAUACCGGUGGCGAAGGCGGCCCCCUGGACGAAGACUGACGCUCAGGUGCGAAAGCGUGGGGAGCAAACAGGGUUAGAUACCCUGGUAGUCCACGCCGUAAACGAUGUCGACUUGGAGGUUGUGCCCUUGAGGCGUGGCUUCCGGAGCUAACGCGUUAAGUCGACCGCCUGGGGAGUACGGCCGCAAGGUUAAAACUCAAAUGAAUUGACGGGGGCCCGCACAAGCGGUGGAGCAUGUGGUUUAAUUCGAUGCAACGCGAAGAACCUUACCUGGUCUUGACAUCCACAGAACUUUCCAGAGAUGGAUUGGUGCCUUCGGGAACUGUGAGACAGGUGCUGCAUGGCUGUCGUCAGCUCGUGUUGUGAAAUGUUGGGUUAAGUCCCGCAACGAGCGCAACCCUUAUCCUUUGUUGCCAGCGGUCCGGCCGGGAACUCAAAGGAGACUGCCAGUGAUAAACUGGAGGAAGGUGGGGAUGACGUCAAGUCAUCAUGGCCCUUACGACCAGGGCUACACACGUGCUACAAUGGCGCAUACAAAGAGAAGCGACCUCGCGAGAGCAAGCGGACCUCAUAAAGUGCGUCGUAGUCCGGAUUGGAGUCUGCAACUCGACUCCAUGAAGUCGGAAUCGCUAGUAAUCGUGGAUCAGAAUGCCACGGUGAAUACGUUCCCGGGCCUUGUACACACCGCCCGUCACACCAUGGGAGUGGGUUGCAAAAGAAGUAGGUAGCUUAACCUUCGGGAGGGCGCUUACCACUUUGUGAUUCAUGACUGGGGUG